rnacentral:rRNA from 1 species
UAGGGAAUCUUGCGCAAUGGAUGAAAAUCUGACGCAGCGAUGCCGCGUGAGUGAGGAAGGCCUUCGGGUUGUAAAGCUCUGUCCUGAGAGAAAAAUAGCGUAUGUACGAAUAAUAUAUAUGUUUGAUGGUAUCUCAGAAGAAAGCACCGGCUAACUUCGUGCCAGCAGCCGCGGUAAUACGAAGGGUGCAAGCGUUGUUCGGAAUUAUUGGGCGUAAAGGGCGAGUAGGCGGAUAUGAAAGUCAGAUGUGAAAUCUCGAGGCUCAACCUCGAAAUUGCAUCUGAAACUCCAUAACUAGAAUCCCAGAGAGGGAAGGGGAAUUUCGCAUGUAGGAGUAAAAUCCGUAGAUAUGCGAAGGAACACCAGAGGCGAAGGCGCCUUCCUGGAUGGGUAUUGACGCUGAGGCGCGAAAGCGUGGGGAGCAAACAGG